rnacentral:rRNA from 1 species
AAGCUCGUAGUUGAAUUUCGGGAUUGACACAUCGGUCGUGCCUUAAGGGGUAUGAACUGGUGUAGUCAAUUUCUCACCUUCUGGAGAACCGCGAUGCCCUUAAUUGGGUGUCGCGGGGAACCAGGACCUUUACUUUGAAAAAAUUAGAGUGUUUAAAGCAGGCAUUUUGCUUGAAUACAUUAGCAUGGAAUAAUAAAAUAGGACGGCAUGAUUCUAUUUUGUUGGUUUCUAGGACCACCGUAAUGAUUAAUAGGGAUAGUUGGG